ACGCUCGACACCUACGGGGGGCAGCAGUCGGGAAUAUUGCGCAAUGGAGGAAACUCUGACGCAGUGACGCCGCGUAUAGGAAGAAGGUUUUCGGAUUGUAAACUAUUGUCGUUAGGGAAGAAAAAGGCAGUACCUAAGGAGGAAGCUCCGGCUAACUACGUGCAGCAGCCGNGGUAAUCUGAGGCGGGCUGGCAAGGC
rnacentral:rRNA from 1 species